rnacentral:rRNA from 1 species
UACGUAGGGGGCGAGCGUUGUCCGGAAUCAUUGGGCGUAAAGCGCGCGUAGGCGGUUUUGUAAGUCGGGUGUGAAAUCCCCAAGCUUAACUUGGGAACUGCAUUCGAGACUGCAUAGCUAGAGUAUGGGAGAGGGAAGUGGAAUUCCAGGUGUAGCGGUGAAAUGCGUAGAUAUCUGGAGGAAUACCGGUGGCGAAGGCGGCAUCCUGGACCGGCAUUGACGCUGAGGAGCGAAAGCUAGGGGAGCAAACGGG